UGAAGACAGAAGGAGAAGACAGCCAUGGAUGAGCCAAGGAAAGAGGCCUCAGAAGAAACCAACCCUUCUGAUACCUUGGUCUUACACUCUGGCCUCCAGAAUCUGAUGGGGUCUCAGUAUGUUGCUCAGGCUGGAGUAUAGUCUCCUACAGUCCAGUGGCGUGACUGUAGCAUACGACAGCCAAGAACUGCUGGACUCAAGAGGUCCUCCCGCCUCAGCCUCCCAAGAGCUGGACCUGCAGAGGCACACGGCCACACCUGGCUGUUCGUGGAGUAGUCACGGUGGUAAUUCUGAGGACACAGAGCUUGGAUGCUUUGUAUGGUUUAUUCCUAGUAACUUUGUUAUGACUUGAUUUUUCAUAUUAUUUCUGUUUUUAAAACUGCUAUGAUGGAAAAUUUUGAGAGUCAUUUAGUUAUAUUUGAGUGAACUAAUGUUCAAUUUGCAAAAAGUUUUUUGUUCAUAUUCUUCAAAAAUAGAAGAAGAAGAGGGACAGUCUGAAAAUAGUUUAAAAGAUAUUGCUUUUUGCCAGGGAAGUAACAGAAAAAGGAAUCCAGUUCAGCAAGCAACCUGAAUGCCUGCAGCAGCGUUACACGUCUUAGUCUGGAUCAGUCAACUUCUGCUGUGGUAAUGAACAAUCCCAGCAUCUUAUGGCUUCAAUCAUGAACAAUUAUUUCUUGGUCUUCAGGGCUGAGAGUCAGCUUUGCAUCUCCUGGGCUCUGUUGGCAUCAUGGAUCUUCUGUUUCAAAGAAUCCAGAUUGAAAGAGUAACCUUUGAUGAUACUGAUGUGGAUAAAAUACUCGACUCAUAGGCUGGAGUGCAGUGGCACGAUCUCAGCUCACUACAAUCUCUGCCAACUGGGUUCAAGCAGUUCUCCUGCCUCAGCCUCCCAAGUAUCUGGGAUUACAGGGACGAUCUCCUCACUGAAGCAAAUUCACGUAUCUCCUGGCAGGCCUUGGGUUUACCACUGCUCACCUGGCAAAAGCAUUUUCCCCAGUAGGAUAAGCAGGUGUGCCAUUUCCCGAGGGUAUGCGGCACACCCUUACUUUCUAACUCAAGGUCAAGUUCAUCAUCUUCAACUCUGCCUCUAGGAAUGAGGAACUCUGGAGAGCUUCUUUGGAUUUUGGAGGCAAUGUGGCUCAUAUUUAAAUAGCUUGCUUUGACCCAUUUGCCGGGAAAUCUGAAAGCAACUUUGGUCCAUGGUUAAUGUUUGAUACUGUGUCCAUCUACGCUGAGCUUCUACACCUGAGUGGAGGACAAGGGUCCCUGGGUGUGCUUGGAACUGGUGGUGGGCGUGAGGGGAUGGUGCUGUCAGAGGCCUGAAAGAUGAUCUGACGACCUCUGCAUCUCAUGAGUCAGGCUCCUGGAAGAACUGUGGGGAGUCUCCCAAAUCAUGAAACCAGAAAAUUAGACCAGACGUCUCACAUUUCCUCUUAAGCUGAAUAAGAGCUUACCUCAUCCUGAUGUUAAGAGCUGCUUUGUUCAUUCCACGUGAGCCUACCUUGUAGCAAGGGGGCUUAUUUAUAAACCUAACAGCAGAAACCUGCUUACUUUAAAAUAAGCAGUGAAAGGGCGAAGCAAAGAAGAAAGAUGGCAGAUGGAAGUGAAACGGAUGUGAUCAGUGGCAGUAUAUAAAGUUAACAUUUCCCUCUUAUUCAUAAAAAGAAGUGGAUACUUGGCUGGGUGUGAUAGCUCACACCUGUAAUCCCAGCACUUUGGGAUGCCAAGGAGGGCAGACUACUGGAGGUCAGGAGUUUGAAACCAGCCUGACCAACAUGGUGAAACUCUGACUCUACUAAAAAUACAAAAAAAAAAAAAGUUAUCCUUGUUUGACGGCACGUGUCUGUAAUCCCAGCUACUCAGGAGGCUGAGGCAGAAUUGCUGGAACCCGGGAGGUGGAGGUUGCCGCGAGCUGAGAUCAUGCCACAGCACUCCAGCCUGGAGUCACAGUGAGAUUCUGUCUUCAAAAAAAAAAAAAAGAAAGAAAAUUUUAUCACCCAGAGAUAACCACUGCUAGCCUACGGCCUAUUCGAAUCUAGUCUUUUUCCUAUGCUAUAAAGAUGACAUGUG
rnacentral:lncRNA from 13 species